AAUUUUAUUCUAUGAAAUGAAGCUUAAAAUGAUGAAUUAGGCAUGCAUGGAAACAGAAGUGGAUCCAAAGAGGGUAAAGGGAGAUCUUGAAAGGACUCAGAAGUGAAGACAAAGACAUAAUAAAAGCCAACAACCCAGAACAAAACAAUGGCAAGAGGUCAGAGUUGAAAAGAAUCAGUGAAGUCGUUAUCUGAGUUUGCUUCAAUUUUAAGAAGCAGCAGCAGGAGCAGCAGAAACACCAGCACCAUGCCCACUCUCAUUUGUGAGGGACAGCAGGCUGUGCGCAUACCCG